GCCGGGUGUGGUGGCGGCACCUGUAGUCCCAGCUACUCGGGAGGCUGAGGCAGGAGGAUUGCUUGAGCCCAGGAGGUGGAGCUUGCAGUGAGCCAAGAUCGUGCCACUGCACUCCAGCCUGGGCGACAGAGCGAGACUCUGUCUCAA
rnacentral:SRP_RNA from 1 species